rnacentral:rRNA from 1 species
AGCUCGUGUUGUGAAAUGUUGGGUUAAGUCCGCAACGAGCGCAACCCUUAUCCUUUGUUGCCAGCGAUUCGGUCGGGAACUCAAAGGAGACUGCCGGUGAUAAACCGGAGGAAGGUGGGGAUGACGUCAAGUCAUCAUGGCCCUUACGAGUAGGGCUACACACGUGCUACAAUGGCGCAUACAAAGAGAAGCGACCUCGCGAGAGCAAGCGGACCUCAUAAAGUGCGUCGUAGUCCGGAUCGGAGUCUGCAACUCGACUCCGUGAAGUCGGAAUCGCUAGUAAUCGUGGAUCAGAAUGCCACGGUGAAUACGUUCCCGGGCCUUGUACACACCGCCCGUCACACCAUGGGAGUGGGUUGCAAAAGAAGUAGGUAGCUUAACCUUCGGGAGGGCGCUUACCACUUUGUGAUUCAUGACUGGGGGUGAAGUCGUAACAAGGUAAGCGUAGCGAG